rnacentral:lncRNA from 1 species
GUCCAAUCUCCUUAGUAUGAUUUUACACCUACUGCACAACUAGUACAACACCCUGCAACAAGUAGAAACCCGGCGAUGAACACAAAUUCAUCAAUAGAGUUGACAAGUUCAUCAUGAACAUUUUUGUUUCUCGGUACCAGUAUACAUGUUUCUAAAUACAUCAAAUCCUUUAACUCUAUUAAUUUGAUCAUCCUAUACUAUGCAAGCAUGGGUUCGAUUUCAGACAUUAUGGUUUAUAAACUCUGCAAAUUUGAAUGAAUUAACACUUUUGGAUGGCAUAGCUGAGCUGAGAAGAGACCCUACAACAGAUGUAGAAAGCAAGCAUCACAAAUUCACAAUGCAGCAACCUGAAAUCCCUAAGAACUCAUCAAUCAGUCUCCAUCAGGUCAAAAUCUAGCGUAGAGAGAGUUAAUACCAUGCCUGCAAGAGUGCAAGCAAAAAGAAGCUCAAUCCGCUGCAUUUCGCCAGUGUGAAGUAUAUAUUGUUCCUGCAAAAACCAAACCUUAAGUCAACAUCCCUCAAAAAGGUAAAAUCUUUCCUAGAACUACCUCCGGGACAACGAACUCGAGGACUACGCCCCACUGGUGAUCGUGAACUGUCCUGUCUAGGUGGAGGAUCGGCCGUUUACUCUAACUGACGCUCGGAGCUCCGAUCGCGAAAGCUCAUUUCGGCCGACGGAUAGUGGUGCACGCCCUGGUAACUCCUCUUACACGAGACGAAGUGGAUCGAUAAUUCUUCGAACCAACUUGUUCACAGAGCAAAGCAACACCACGAGGGAUCAGAUGAAGCAGGGAUGAGGCGGUUCCUCGGCGGCGGAGAAGGCGAAUCGAGGGAAAAAACCACAGAAACGUACAGACGAAACACCGGCGCGUGCAAACCAACCGCGCGAGUGUCUUCGCGACAUGCGCGUGUGAAAGUUUGGUUUUUGUAAGCCGGCCCGGUUUUUUGUUUAUUCCGAAACGCCAGCUGGAACCAGAC